rnacentral:rRNA from 1 species
GGCGUGCUUAACACAUGCAAGUCGAACGAACNUUCGGGUUAGUGGCGGACGGGUGAGUAACGCGUGGGAAUCUGCCCUCAGGAGGGGGAUAACGGUUGGAAACGACCGCUAAUACCCCAUAUGCCGAGAGGUGAAAUGAAUUUCGCCUGAGGAUGAGCCCGCGUCUGAUUAGCUUGUUGGUGAGGUAAUGGCUCACCAAGGCUUCGAUCAGUAGCUGGUCUGAGAGGAUGAUCAGCCACACUGGGACUGAGACACGGCCCAGACUCCUACGGGAGGCAGCAGUGGGGAAUUUUCCGCAAUGGGCGAAAGCCUGACGGAGCAACGCCGCGUGAGGGAUGAAGGCCUCUGGGCUGUAAACCUCUUUUCUCAAGGAAGAAGAUAUGACGGUACUUGAGGAAUAAGCCACGGCUAAUUCCGUGCCAGCAGCCGCGGUAAUACGGGAGUGGCAAGCGUUAUCCGGAAUUAUUGGGCGUAAAGCGUCCGCAGGCGGCCCUUCAAGUCUGCUGUAAAAACGUGGAGCUUAACUCCAUCAUCGCAGUGGAAACUGUAGGGCUUGAGUGUGGUAGGGGCAGAGGGAAUUCCCGGUGUAGCGGUGAAAUGCGUAGAUAUCGGGAAGAACACCAGUGGCGAAGGCGCUCUGCUGGGCCAUAACUGACGCUCAUGGACGAAAGCCAGGGGAGCGAAAGGGAUUAGAUACCCCUGUAGUCCUGGCCGUAAACGAUGAACACUAGGUGUCGGGGGAAUCGACCCCCUCGGUGUCGUANCU